rnacentral:lncRNA from 1 species
CUGUGGUCUACUGCCUGACUCCUUCAGGUUCUUAGAAGAGCUGGGACGACAUAACUAUGUUACUGCUACUUCUUACCUUGAACUGAUUGGCUCAUUUCGGCAGCUUUUAACCAAGAAGCGGCAGUCUGUCAUGGAAGCAAAACAGCGCUAUGUGAACGGACUUGACCAGUUAGCUUUCGCCGAGUCUCAGGUAAAGCCCAUGAGCUGUUCAAAAUAAUAAAAUGUUCUGAGCGGGGGUCGGGGAGGGGUGGUGGCUGCACACGCCUCUAAUCCUAGCACUCAGGAGGCAGAGGCAGGCAGAUCUCAGUGUAUUUUAGGCCAGCCUGGUCGACAGAGUGAGUUCUAGGACAGCCAGAACUACACAGAGAGACCCUGUCUCCAAAAACCAAAACCAAAACCAAACAAACAAAAAAGAA